AGUGGAUGGGGAGCAACCUAGUUGUGCGUGUGUAAAGGUAGUGCCAAGAAAAGCGAUGAUCAUGUUGAAAAUCAAUUCCCGGUACCCGAAACCGACACAGGUGGGCAAGUAGAGAAUACUAAGGGGCGCGAGGUAACUCUCUCCAAGGAACUCGGCAAAAUGACCCCGUAACUUAGGGAGAAGGGGUGCCACCGAGAGGUGGUCGCAGUGAAGAGGCCCAGGCGACUGUUUAGCAAAAACAUAGGUCUCUGCAAACUCGAAAGAGGAGGUAUAGGGGCUGACGCCUGCCCAGUGCCGGAAGGUUAAAGAAGUUGGUCAGUCUUAGGAUGAAGCUAGCGACUGAAGCCCCGGUGAACGGCGGCCGUAACUAUAACGGUCCUAAGGUAGCGAAAUUCCUUGUCGGGUAAGUUCCGACCCGCACGAAAGGCGUAACGAUCUGGGCGCUGUCUCGGAGAGAGGCUCGGCGAAAUAGGAUUGUCUGUGAAGAUACGGACUACCUGCAUUUGGACAGAAAGACCCUAUGAAGCUUUACUAUAGCUUGGAAUUGUGUUCGGGCUUCCUGUGCGCAGGAUAGGUGGGAGGCGUAGAAGGUAUUCUUGUGGGGAUACUGGAGCCAACGGUGAGAUACCACUCUCAGGAGGCUAGAAUUCUAACUUAAUUAAGGACAGUUUCAGGUGGGCAGUUUGACUGGGGCGGUCGCCUCCAAAAAGGUAACGGAGGCGUACAAAGGUUCCCUCAGACUGGUUGGAAAUCAGUCGAAGAGUGCAAAGGCAGAAGGGAGCUUGACUGCGAGAAGUACAGUUCGAGCAGGGUGGAAACACGGUCUUAGUGAUCCGACGGUGCUGUGUGGAAGGGCCGUCGCUCAACGGAUAAAAGUUACUCUAGGAUAACAGGCUGAUCUCCCCCAAGAGUUCACAUCGACGGGGAGGUUUGGCACCUCGAUGUCGGCUCAUCGCAACCUGGGGCGGAAGUACGUCCCAAGGGUCGGGCUGUUCGCCCAUUAAAGCGGUACGUGAGCUGGGUUCAGAACGUCGUGGGACAGUUCGGUCCAUAUCCGAUGUAGGCGUGAGAAUAUUGAGAGGAGCCUUCCUUAGUACGAGAGGACCGGGAAGGACGCACCGCUGGUGUACCUGUUAUGAUGCCAAUUGUAAACGCAGGGUAGCCAAGUGCGGAGAGGAUAACCGCUGAAAGCAUCUAAGUGGGAAGCCCACCUCAAGAUGAGUAUUCUGGUGUAAGGUCACGGGAAGACGACCCGUAAAUAGGCACGAGGUGGAAGUGCAGAGAUGUAUGAAGCCGAAGUGUACUAAUAGACCGUCGGCUUGA
rnacentral:rRNA from 1 species